CAGUGUACAGCGUGAGUUAUGCAGACGAGUUCAGGAAUCCAGGACAAAGACGACGCACAGAGGCAGAAGUUCAUGAGAAAAAUCAACGAUCAGUGCUGUGCCUUGAAUCCGCCAUUGGAG